ensembl:lncRNA
GGCUGAUAGUGAGGUGGCUAAAAUUUGUUUAAUCGCCCGAUCGCUCAGCAAGGGUCUGUGUCUUAGCUGGACUUAUUUUUCGUUUAUAUGGGCCGAUGAUGCUGGUCGAUGUGGAAAAAAUAACUGAGUUGUUUGGUGGUGGAGCUACAACAGAGGGCAGCUAUCCACCGGUGUGUGACAGAAAGGACAUGCCGCCAACGAGACAUACGAGGCCGGGCAGGCGAUUGCUAACGCGGAGGUCAAUCAUGGAUCAGGGAAAGCGAAGGCAGGAGCGUGAGGUGAACUGAAUUUCAGAUGAACAUAUGAGACACUUUGACUCUUCAGUGCAGUGUGGAGCCUAACAAAGAUCUGUUUUGUGUCCCAGCUGAUCAGCAGGAGGAGAAGAGUCUGACGGAGCAGCAGAGGAACAUUUUCAGCUACUUGGACUCAGCUCAGCCACUACAGAGAAAACAAUGAGCUCAACACAGAAGGUGACAGACAGAGCAGGGCGAUAUGACCAGAAAUAUUUAUCACGAUAUACAUUUGAAAAUUUGCGAUAACAAUAUAACUGACGAUAUAAUUGACGCAAUAUAAUUGACGAGACAAAAUACUUUUACAACUCCACAACUUUAUUAGUGCAAAAAAUCCCAUCAAUGUAUUUUCACUUAAACAAACAGCUGUUUUUUAUGUGUAUUGAAGUUAUAUGAAAAUUUCACAGUGCAAAUGCAAAUUCCUUGCUGACAGUUUAACCAAAAGGCAUUUCCAGUGGAAACUGGCCGGCAUUUGCUCCGAGGAAUUUGCAUUUGCACUGUUAAUAUUUUUGGUCAUAUCGCCCUGCUCUGCUUUCAUGUGUUACUGUUUAGGCUUAAAUUGGUUUGAUGUUUGGUGCCUUUUUCUUAAUGUAAAAAAACCCCUCAGGUUACAAUCAGACAUUUUUCUUCACUGAACCUGUUGGGUCUAAACUCAGACCCCGCUGUCUCCAGGACUUAUUCCCAUGAAAGAAAAACAAGGCAACAGCGAUCGAUCGAUUUACUUGCAAGGGAGGCCUCGUCGGUAUCUCAGAAACGCACUUCGAAUCUCGUGUGUUUGACUGGAUAAGUAAAAACAACAUGAUUUUAAAUGUAUCUAAAUCCAAAUCUAUGUUAAUUGGAAGCAGAUUAGUCAGCAGCCCACAACUGAGUCUUUCCAUAGCCAGUGUUAGAACACGUCACCCAGAUUAAACUACUCGGCGUUACCAUAAAUCACCACCUUUCAUGGUUUCAGCACAUCGACUGUUUUUAAGAAAACGGGACAAGGCAUAGCUAUGGCUAUGAAAUGCUCUUUCUGUAUCACUUCUUCAAUUAUGAAAGAUGUCAUUAAUGCACUAGUAAUGUCUCAUCUGGAGUACUGUUCAAUCAUUUGGUCAGCAGCUAAUAAGACAGAUCUUAACAGACUUCAGUUAGUCCAGAAUAAGGCGUCCAGAUUAGAUGUUCAUACUAUACUAAUUAAAAAUGGACCGAUCCUCACCUCACAAAACGCGCUACUUGGCGUAACCCAGCUUUGCUUAUCAGAGAAGUAUGUGUCACUCGAUAGAGCGGCUGUUGUCUGCGAGACCUGUCGGCGAACUGGUGGAGCAUUUGGAGCCUCACUACAUGCUUCCAAACCGCAGCGUUUUUAAUCUUAAUCUCUUCCAUACUGAGGCGAAAAGGAAGCGAUUUGUCCCGUACUUCAGCUAGAAUGGGGGAAAAAAAGACUGGAGUUAGUCUGUGUCCUUAAGCUGCAGCUGCCUCUUCUUCUCUCAUGUUUUCUAAGUAGCUGACAGCUGGUAACUGUGCAGGGGCGGCUCUAGCAAAGCUUUGCCAGGAGGUAGGUAGGGCAUUAACAAGAAAAGGGAGGCACAAAAAAUACUUUUCUUUGUUAUUUCAUUUAAAGGACUAACUUUUAAUAAAUAAUUAUCUGAAUCUUACAACCAAAGUGGUCAUCUGAUUAAAUGUAUAGAAAUCCAUUACUGUAUAUGGUAACUAUUAAGUCUAAUUAACACCCUGGUAAGCUAUAGUCCUUUUUCCUUUGGGAAGGUACCAUCUGUGCAGUCUGCAAUUCUGUUGAAGAAAGAUGGUGAAUCUAUUUAAUUAUUGUAGAAACAUAAUUGAUUAUUUCUGUGCAUUUGAUUUACACGUGCAUUAAAUUAAAGUUCAUUAUGUCGAUUAAGCAUCAUGAGGUGGAGGGCGGGGGUGGUUCUGGGAGAUUUUUGCUGGGAGUUGGCAACUCUAUUAGUUAGGUUGUUUAAUAUUUCUGAUAAGUACUCUUUAAAAUACCAGAAUAGGAAAGAUGGUGCAGGUUUAAGUUUAUUAGAUUGAUGAGUGUUGCUGGACUAUAAAAUAUUUGAAUAGAAUAGAAUUCAACUUUAUUGUCAUGGCACAUGUCACAGGUACAGGGCAACGAAAUGCAGUUUGCAUCCAUCCAGAAGUGCUUUAGCUAUGAUAUCGAUAUAUUACAAUAUAUAUUAGCAAUAAUAUAGAUAUGUAAGUUAUAUUACAGAAAUGGGUCUAUUAUGGUAUGUAUGGUAUGUACACAGUAUAAAGUAUGUUAUGGAUAUGCUAUAACUAUAAGUAUGUACAGGCUGUAGUGAGUACAAGCUAUGAACAGGAUAUAAAUAUGAAAAACUAUACAGAAUAUGAAAUAAAAAAAAAAACUAUACAGAAAUAUGAGAUAUAAAGCUAUACAGAAAUGGGAAAUGUGCAAGUUAUAAACGGUUGUAAAAUUAAAAAUUAUCGUAUUAUACAAAAUGAUUAUUUAUACAGAAUUAUACAGUGGUGCAGUUAAGAUAAGUGAGAUAUGUGGAUAAUUUCUACAGAGGCUAUAUAAAGUGCUAGUGGUUGUGAGUGGUGGUUCAGUCCAUGUUAUUGUUAUUAUUGUGUGUUUGAGGGUACAGUUGUCCAUUGUGUGUGUGUGUGUGUGUGUAGGUGGUUGUGGGUGUGUGUAUGUUCAGUCCAUGAGUUUAACGUGGGUCAGAUGUCAGGAGGCAGAGUUCAGGAGUCUGACAGCUGUGGGGAAGAAGCUGUUCCGGUACCUGGUGGUCUUAGUCCGGAGGCUCCUGUAGCGCCUCCCAGAGGGCAGGAGGGUGAAGAGUCCAUGUGAUGGGUGACUGGGGUCUUUGAUGAUUUUCCCAGCCCUUUUCAGACACCGCUUCCUGUAGAUGUCCUUUAUGGCAGGAAGUGGUGCUCCGGCGAUACGCUGGGCAGUUUUCACAAUCCUCUGCAACGCCUUCCGGUCCGAGGCAGAGCAGUUCCCGUACCAGACUGUUAUACGGUUGGUCAGGAUGCUCUCGAUGGUGCAGCGGUAGAAGUUCACCAGGAUGUCUGAGGACAGGUGGUUCUUCCUCAGUCCUCAAGAAGAAGAGGCGCUGGUGAGCCUUCUUGACCAGCUUGGAGCAGUUGGUCGUCCAGAUGAGAUCCUCGGAGAUGUGGACUCCAAGGAACUUGAAGCUGCUCACACGCUCCACAGCCGUCCCUUUGAUGUGGAUGGGUGGAUGUGGGUCAGCAUUCCUCCUGUAGUCCACGAUGAGCUCCUUGGUCUUCUCGGUGUUAAGCAGCAGGUUGUUUGUGUCGCACCACUCAGCCAGACGAUCCACCUCCUCCCUGUAGACGGCCUCAUCGUUGUCACUGAUGAGGCCAAUCACCGUGGUGUCAUCUGCAAACUUAAUGAUGGUGUCAGAACCAUCGGCAGGUCUGCAGUCGUGGGUGAAGAGGGAGUAGAGGAAAGGGCUCAUUUGGUGUAACGGAAUAGCUUUAGUGUCUUGUUUUUAAAACUUGAGUAUGAACUUAUACAAAAUGCAGCAAGAUAUUUAUUUAAAAAACAGUUUUAUUGAUUACAAAAAACGCUAUAUUGGAUUCAUAUCGGUAUUGGACAUUAAAAAGUGGCAUCGUGCCAUCUCUAAUACUAAUAUCGAUAAAAUGCAUUAUCAACUUUCUUGGCUUCCUGUACAGGCUCAAAUAUUCUAUGGCUUACUUGUAGUUAUAAAGAACGCAAUUCUGUUAAACACACCACUAGGGCUGGGCUAUAUCAUACCGUUCACGGUAAUACCGGUGUAAUUUUGGGCAAUGAUAGAAAAAUGAAAUAUCGCGAUAGAAUAUGGGUAAAACGCGCAUGCGCAGUGCCUAUGUUUACAUACGCACAUGGCGGCGACGCAGAAUGAGAAGAGCUAAAGUGGAUCGUUAAAUGAAACGGAUGAACCAGAACUGGUUUGUAAAAAUGCCGCAACUUCAGUGAUGUGGAACUGGUUUAGCUUUCCUCCGUCAGAUACACAACAAAGCACUAUUUUUGGUAGCGCAUGCUAGCGGGCCGUCGUUAUUACCGUGUUGUUUGGAAAAUACGGCACACUUAAAAUCAAUCCUUUGAUUUUUCUGAAAAUCGACAGUGCCCCUUAUAAUCCCGUGUGCCUUAUGUAUGAAUUCUGGUUGUGUUUACUGACCUCGAAACGAUUUAAUGUGGUACACGGCGCUCGAAAAUCUGUCAGAUGUUUCAGUACGACUUUGCUAAGCUACGAACUCGCACCGCUUGAUGGAUUGUCGGAGCAUUACGGUUAAGGCAGGAGCCUCGCGGAGUGAUACAUACUGUGCUUCAACAUAAUAUUACUGUAUUGUGUGUGUAUAUAACCUCUUUUUAAGUUUUGUGGAUAUUAUACAUGGUUAUGCUGAGGAUAUGUCGGCCAAUUUCCACUGGAAAUGCCUUUUGGUUAAACUGUCAGCAAGGAAUUUCCAUUUGCACUGUUAAAUUUUUAUAUAACUUUAAUGCACAUAAAAAACAGCUGCUUGUUUAAGUGAAAAUACAUUGAUGAGGUUUUUUUGCACUAAUAAAGUUGUGGAGUUGUAAAGUAUUUUGUCUAGUGUCAAUUAUAUCGUCAGUUAUAUCGUUAUCGCAAAUUUUCAAAUGUAUAUCGUGAUAAAUAUUUUUGGUCAUAUCGCCCUGCUCUACACACCACAUUUAUUUCUGCUCAGCUGCAGUAUCCAGAUGAAUUACAGGGAGUGCAGAAUUAUUAGGCAAAUGAGUAUUUUGUCCACAUCAUCCUCUUCAUGCAUGUUGUCUUACUCCAAGCUGUAUAGGCUCAAAAGCCUACUACCAAUUAAGCAUAUUAGGUGAUGUGCAUCUCUGUAAUGAGAAGGGGUGUGGUCUAAUGACAUCAACACCCUAUAUCAGUUGUGCAUAAUUAUUAGGCAACUCCCUUUCCUUUGGCAAAAUGGGUCAAAAGAAGAACUUGACAGGCUCAGAAAAGUCAAAAAUAGUGUGAUAUCUUGCAGAGGGAUGCAGCAGUCUUAAAAUUGCAAAGCUUCUGAAGCGUGAUCAUCGAACAAUCAAGCGUUUCAUUCAAAAUAGUCAACAGGGUCGCAAGAAGCGUGUGGAAAACCAAGGCGCAAAAUAACUGCCCAUGAACUGAGAAAAGUCAAGCGUGCAGCUGCCAAGAUGCCACUUGCCACCAGUUUGGCCAUAUUUCAGAGCUGCAACAUCACUGGAGUGCCCAAAAGCACAAGAUGUGCAAUACUCAGAGACAUGGCCAAGGUAAGAAAGGCUGAAAGACGACCACCACUGAACAAGACACACAAGCUGAAACGUCAAGACUGGGCCAAGAAAUAUCUCAAGACUGAUUUUUCUAAGGUUUUAUGGACUGAUGAAAUGAGAGUGAGUCUUGAUGGGCCAGAUGGAUGGGCCCGUAGCUGGAUUGGUAAGGGCAGAGAGCCCCAGUCCGACUCAG